rnacentral:rRNA from 1 species
ACAUGCAAGUCGAGCGAAUGACGAAGAAGCUUGCUUCUUUUGAUUUAGCGGCGGACGGGUGAGUAACACGUGGGCAACCUGCCCUGUAGAUUGGGAUAACUCCGGGAAACCGGGGCUAAUACCGAAUAAUCCAUUUCCUCACAUGGGGAGAUGUUAAAAGACGGUUUCGGCUGUCACUACAGGAUGGGCCCGCGGCGCAUUAGCUAGUUGGUGAGGUAACGGCUCACCAAGGCGACGAUGCGUAGCCGACCUGAGAGGGUGAUCGGCCACACUGGGACUGAGACACGGCCCAGACUCCUACGGGAGGCAGCAGUAGGGAAUUUUCCACAAUGGACGAAAGUUUGAUGGAGCAAUGCCGCGUGAGUGAAGAAGGUUUUCGGAUCGUAAAACUCUGUUGUGAGGGAAGAACAAGUACGAGAGUAACUGCUCGUACCUUGACGGUACCUCAUUAGAAAGCCACGGCUAAAUACGUGCCAGCAGCCGCGGUAAUACGUAGGUGGCAAGCGUUGUCUGGAAUUAUUGGGCGUAAAGCGCGCGCAGGCGGUCCUUUAAGUCUGAUGUGAAAUCCCACGGCUCAACCGUGGAAGGUCAUUGGAAACUGGGGGACUUGAGUACAGAAGAGGAAAGCGGAAUUCCAAGUGUAGCGGUGAAAUGCGUAGAGAUUUGGAGGAACACCACUGGCGAAGGCGGCUUUCUGGUCUGUAACUGACGCUGAGGCGCGAAAGCGUGGGGAGCAAACACGAUUAGAUACCCCGGUAGUCCACGCCGUAAACGAUGAGUGCUAAGUGUUAGGGGG